rnacentral:rRNA from 1 species
AGAGUUUGAUCAUGGUUCAGAUUGAACGCUGGUGGCAUGCUUAACACAUGCAAGUCGAACGGUAACAGGUCUUCGGAUGCUGACGAGUGGCGGACGGGUGAGUAACGCGUAGGAAUCUGCCCAUCUGUGGGGGAUACCAGUUGGAAACGACUGUUAAUACCGCAUAAUAUCUGCGGAUUAAAGGUGGCCUUUGCGCUGCCGCAGAUGGAUGAGCCUGCGUUGGAUUAGCUAGUUGGUGGGGUAAGGGCCUACCAAGGCUACGAUCCAUAGCUGAUUUGAGAGGAUGAUCAGCCACAUUGGGACUGAGACACGGCCCAAACUCCUACGGGAGGCAGCAGUGGGGAAUAUUGGACAAUGGGGGAAACCCUGAUCCAGCAAUGCCAUGUGUGUGAAGAAGGCUCUAGGGUUGUAAAGCACUUUAGUUGGGGAGGAAAGCCUGUGAGUUAAUAGCUUGCAGGAAGGACGUUGCCCAAAGAAUAAGGACCGGCUAACUCCGUGCCAGCAGCCGCGGUAAUACGGGGGGUCCGAGCGUUAAUCGGAAUUACUGGGCGUAAAGGGUCUGUAGGUGGUUUGUUAAGUCAGAUGUGAAAGCCCAGGGCUCAACCUUGGAACUGCAUUUGAUACUGACAAACUAGAGUAUGGUAGAGGAAUAGGGAACUUCUGGUGUAGCGGUGAAAUGCGUAGAGAUCAGAAUGAACACCAAUGGCGAAGGCAACAUUCUGGACCAAUACUGACACUGAGGGACGAAAGCGUGGGGAUCAAAUAGGAUUAGAUACCCUGGUAGUCCACGCUGUAAACGAUGAGUACUAGCUGUUGGAUUCGGUGUAAAGGAUCUAGUGGCGCAGCUAACGCGUUAAGUACUCCGCCUGGGGACUACGGCCGCAAGGCUAAAACUCAAAGGAAUUGACGGGGACCCGCACAAGCGGUGGAGCAUGUGGUUUAAUUCGAUGCAACGCGAAGAACCUUACCUGGUCUUGACAUCCUGCGAACUUUCUAGAGAUAGAUUGGUGCCUUCGGGAACGCAGUGACAGGUGCUGCACGGCUGUCGUCAGCUCGUGUUGUGAAAUGUUGGGUUAAGUCCCGCAACGAGCGCAACCCCUAUUGAUAGUUACCAUCAUUAAGUUGGGUACUCUAUUGAGACUGCCGCUGACAAGGCGGAGGAAGGUGGGGACGACGUCAAGUCAUCAUGGCCCUUACGACCAGGGCUACACACGUGCUACAAUGGGUAUUACAGAGGGCUGCGAAGGUGCGAGCUGGAGCGAAACUCAGAAAGGUACUCUUAGUCCGGAUUGCAGUCUGCAACUCGACUGCAUGAAGUCGGAAUCGCUAGUAAUCGCAGGUCAGAAUACUGCGGUGAAUACGUUCCCGGGUCUUGUACACACCGCCCGUCACACCAUGGGAGUGGGUUGCUCCAGAAGUAGAUAGCUUAACGAAUGGGCGUUUACCACGGAGUGAUUCAUAACUGGGGUGAAGUCGUAACAAGGUAGCCGUAGGGGAACCUGCGGCUGGAUCACCUCCUU